rnacentral:tRNA from 1 species
GGGGAUUUAGCUCAGCGGUAGAGCAUUUGUCUAGCAAGCACAAGGCCCUGGGUUCGGUUCUCAGCUCUG